AACAACUGCAGGGAUAAGAAUAGCCCAUGGCUGACAGUGCAUUUGCUUCUACUUGUCCUGGUCAAGGUUUUCUAAUUCGGGCCCAAGAGAGUAUUCAUGUCUCCAGGAGGCCACCCUAUGGCACGUUAGGCAUUCUUGAGAGACUGGCGGCCUCAGUCCUUGUGUUUGGAGCAGUUCUGCUAGAGGAGGAAACAGCACAAAGGGCACUCUUAUGCUGCUGUAAACCAGUGCCAGGAUUUUUAAAAUGUGAGACACCUGUUACCCUGUGCCCAGAUUUCAUAUUGUUCAAACACACAUGCUCUACAUACAAUUUGUGCAGUUAAUGCAAUCAUCACAAGGUCCUAGGCCGACCUACAGCCUCAGCUUACGAAGAUGACAAGAUUAAGAGAUUAAAGUAAAGACAGGCAUAAGAAAUCAAAAGAGUAUUGAUUAAGGAAGUGUUUAUGUUCUUCUGCCAUGGCUUCAGCCGGUCCCUCCAUUCAAGGUCCCUGACUUCCUGCAACAGGGGGCAAAGGACUCUUUGUCUUCAAAUUUCCCUCCACCUUGCUCAUCAUCAAGAGAGUGUGAAGAGGAGGAGAAAGGCUGAAGAGGAGGAGAAAGGCUAAGAUCUUUUCCAAUGCAAAAUUAGGAAAAAAUAUACUACAGGUAAGUCACAAAAAACAAAUAUUUUGAAGUUUUCUUCAUUCAUGAGGUUACAACUGUGGUGCAACUUAUUGUGCCUGUCAUUAUUUUUCUCAUAGUAGGAGGAUAAGCCAGGGAGCGGUAAACUAGAGCUGGCCUUGCCAAUGGAAACUAACCUCGUAGAGUUAGCAGGACCUUUCUAAGCAUCAUUUUGCAAUCUCUGUGUGGCCUUUGCAAGGUAGUGUCCUCUCCAUGCCUCACUGCCUACAUCUAGAGUCUUGAUAUUACCAUACCUUUACUUCAUUCAAAUGAGAGAAAUAAAUGUAACUCUGCAUUUAUCCUCAGUAUUAUCAGUCACUCAAUAAACAGACUUUGGGUAUGAAGGACAUUUUAAUCAUAUGUACCAGCACACAAAUUGUAAUUUAGAGAUGAAAACAAGUAUUUUAUAAUUUAUCAAUCUCUGUUGUGGUAAGUCACACUAACUAGCUGUGUCAUAAAAAGCAGUGGCACAAAGUCAUCCCAAGUGACUCAGCAAAAUUUUUCUAACCUCUGCAUAUAUAUUUUAUAAUUAUGCCUCAUUUAAUCCCCCCCUUUUCUAUUCAAAGCAGAAUUGAUCAUCAGGAAAAUAAAUUUCUAGAAUUAGGCCUUUAGUUAUUAACCCCACAGUAGAUUCAUAUAUUAUGAGAUGGUUAAUACAUGUUGUUCUUGAAGGCUAGUAGAUUCCUCCUAAUUCUAUAAUGAUCAGAUUUAAAAAUAUUUUCCUCUUAUAAAUCUCUAUUUUCAGACAGUAGUGCAAAUCUU
rnacentral:lncRNA from 10 species